GCCUAAUGGUGAUUUCAGUAAGCUAAGGUCAUGCUUGUUUUGUGUUUACAGGCACAGUUUAUGGUGUGUUUCAUCAGAACAGCGAACUGCAAAUUCGGUGUACAAAAUAAAUCAAAAGUAAACAUACAAUCAUAUUUCAAUAAUCCAAUACUGACACUUAAAAUGCAAUAGUCACACAAGUCCUCUCAAAAACUGUCCAAGGUAAAUGUCCUACGCUAAUAUCCUACAUAGCACAUAUCUGUCGAUCAACAUUUCGUUAGGUAACGCCGCAUGUAAACAUGUAAAAACAGUGGACUGUUAACCCUAUUUCCUGCUCACAGUGCACAGAGCAGGUACUACUGGUGGAAAGCGUGUGGGACAGUGUUCCCUCCUCUUGCUGUCCGAUAGGAGCGAUCAAGAGCUCUUUGAAAGUAAUUCUGUGUUUAAAGCGUGAAGCAAGAGGACUGAGGUGAAGACAUCCUCAUUCAGCAGGGACAGAAGCAAGAGGACUGAGGUGAAGACAUCCUCAUUCAGCAGGGACAGAAGCAAGAGGACUGAGGUGAAGACAUCCUCAUUCAGCAGGGACAGAAGCUGCUACUAAUGGGAAGUUGUGUGUGUGUGUGUGUGUGUGUGUGUGUGUGUGU